rnacentral:rRNA from 1 species
AUGCAGUCGAGCGGUAGAGAGAAGCUUGCUUCUCUUGAGAGCGGCGGACGGGUGAGUAAUGCCUAGGAAUCUGCCUGGUAGUGGGGGAUAACGCUCGGAAACGGACGCUAAUACCGCAUACGUCCUACGGGAGAAAGCAGGGGACCUUCGGGCCUUGCGCUAUCAGAUGAGCCUAGGUCGGAUUAGCUAGUUGGUGAGGUAAUGGCUCACCAAGGCGACGAUCCGUAACUGGUCUGAGAGGAUGAUCAGUCACACUGGAACUGAGACACGGUCCAGACUCCUACGGGAGGCAGCAGUGGGGAAUAUUGGACAAUGGGCGAAAGCCUGAUCCAGCCAUGCCGCGUGUGUGAAGAAGGUCUUCGGAUUGUAAAGCACUUUAAGUUGGGAGGAAGGGCAGUAACCUAAUACGUUAUUGUUUUGACGUUACCGACAGAAUAAGCACCGGCUAACUCUGUGCCAGCAGCCGCGGUAAUACAGAGGGUGCAAGCGUUAAUCGGAAUUACUGGGCGUAAAGCGCGCGUAGGUGGUUUGUUAAGUUGAAUGUGAAAUCCCCGGGCUCAACCUGGGAACUGCAUCCAAAACUGGCAAGCUAGAGUAGGGC